CUAAAACCCAAACCUGAUGGUACUGUUCUAUAACAGUGUUUUGACAUAAUUGCCCUUCGCUGCUGCUGAGUUUGAGGCUUUUUUCCUGUUUAGAACAGUUAAUUUACAGAUUUGCCCUCAUUUGGUGCUGUCUGCUGCUUAUGCUUGGCUUGGACUUUGUUUCACUUUUUUUUUAUUGGUUCCGUUUGUUUUUGCUACAGUGCAGAACAGUUUUGUCAAGCCCACCUGUUGGUCAUCGCGUGGUGCUUUGUUUGUGUCUUAUUUUCUUCCCUUUUGUUUCCUCUCAGUUCCAACUUUCCCUCACCGUCGCUCUCACUGGUUUUGUUUCCUCUCAUUUCCAUCUUUGGCUCGCGAUCGCUCUCAGAGCUCAAAUCCUUUUUGCCUCAAAAAUUUCUGCUUCGGGUCGUCGUAGAUUUUCGUGCUGUUGCUUUCAGUCGGUGUUUUGUGCGGUUCUGCAGCUUGCAGUUGCUGGGAAAAUAAGAAAUCAGUGUUUUUAUGAAAAUUCACCUUCAAAGAUUGAGUAAAAAUAUAUAAAGGUUGUUGGUGAUCGGUAUAAAGACAAAAUAAAAAAGGUAUGAAUAAAAUGUUAGAAAUUAUAUGAUUUGAUUUGAUUUUGUAAUGUACAAAAUUCUUUUUAUAUUUUUCAGAUUAAAUAGGUUUAGGACUGUAUUGGUUAAAUCUAAUUAAAUUUUUGAAAUUUUCUAUGAACAAUAUUUUGUUUCAUUACAGGAUUUGGUGGUUCUACUUUGGGUUGAGAAAGGAAAAAAAAAAAAAAGACAAUUUUGUUGGCAAUCAAUAUAAAGACAUAACACAAAAGGUUCUCACAAAAUUGUGCAACGUAGAAUUUUAAAGCAUUUGGUUUUGUGGUGCAAGGCUUUUGGUGUUUAAGGCAAGUGCUUUAAAUUCUGGAACUGUUUCUUUUAAAGCAUAAAUAUAUAAUUUUAUUUUUCUUUUUACAAGCAUUGUUAUGUUUGUUAUUUUAUUUAUCCUUCAUUCCAUUAAAAUUCCAAUAUUUUAGUGUUUUUCUCAUGUAUUUAUUAAUUUUGUUCCUUUUUUUUUUUUACAGCUUAAUUUACAACUAUUUGUUUGUAAAUUGCUUAGAACAAAUUUUUCACACUAUGUCUAAAAGAGCUGCAAAAAAUUUAACAAUUACACCUGUCCAGCGCGAACAAAAUACUGUGGAUGAUGAAUAUACUCAGGUUUUCAAACAUAAUCAUCAACCAAAAAAAGUGUGUAGAAAUAUAUAUAUGGAAAAUUGUGCGCACGCUCUUUUACCUCAAAUUGAUGAAUUUGUUUCUACAAAUUUGUUCUUAGACCAUCAGUCUAGCAGCAGUCAAUCAGAAACAAAUUUGUUCUUAGACCAUCAAUCUAGCAGCAAUCUAUCUGGUGGCAUGCAAUGUUUAGGUCAAAAUAUUAUUCAUGGUGAAACACAACAUGUGAUUUGCAAUCGACAAAUUUCUGACCCAUAUGAUAAAAAAGGAAAAAAUGUUGUUGAUGUCUCAAGGGAUGUUGAAAACACAGUUAAAAAAGCUUUACACGUUGAGAAUUCCAAUCUUAUAAAUAGAGGUCAAGCAUUUUUCCAAAAAAACAGGACUGGUAUGUAUUUUUUGUCUUAUAUAAUAAUUUCUUAUCUCAAAAUUUUACAUUAUUUUCUACUUAAUGAUUUGUUUGUAAUAUUGAUUUUUUUAAUAUAUCUUUUUGUAUAGGUAUUGUCAAAGAGUAUGCAGACUUGGGGGAUAAAAAUUAUAAAUGUAGUUAUUGUGGUGCUUAUUUUUGGUUAAAAGAAUCUCUUAAACAAACAUGCACAAAAAAUGAACCCGUUUUUACUCUUUGUUGUCAACAAGGAAAAAUAAGCCUUCCAAUUGCAAAACCAACUCCAUAUUUAUUAGAUUUAUUGCUUGAUCCAAAUGGAGGUCAAAAAAGUU